rnacentral:rRNA from 1 species
CCUACGGGGGGCAGCAGUGGGGGAUAUUGCACAAUGGGGGGAACCCUGAUGCAGCGACGCCGCGUGAAGGAAGAAGUAUCUCGGUAUGUAAACUUCUAUCAGCAGGGAAGAAAAUGACGGUACCUGACUAAGAAGCCCCGGCUAACUACGUGCCAGCAGCCGCGGUAAUACGUAGGGGGCAAGCGGUAUCCGGAUUUACUGGGUGUAAAGGGAGCGUAGGCGGCAGUGCAAGUCAGAAGUGAAAGCCCGGGGCUCAACUCCGGGACUGCUUUUGAAACUGUACAGCUAGAUUGCAGGAGAGGCAAGUGGAAUUCCUAGUGUAGCGGUGAAAUGCGUAGAUAUUAGGAGGAACACCAGUGGCGAAGGCGGCUUGCUGGACUGUAAAUGACGCUGAGGCUCGAAAGCGUGGGGAGCAAACAGGAUUAGAUACCCGAGUAGUC